rnacentral:rRNA from 1 species
AGGGCACCACCAGGAGUGGAGCCUGCGGCUUAAUUUGACUCAACACGGGAAAUCUCACCAGGCCCGGACACCGGAAGGAUUGACAGAUUGAGAGCUCUUUCUUGAUUCGGUGGGUGGUGGUGCAUGGCCGUUCUUAGUUGGUGGAGCGAUUUGUCUGGUUAAUUCCGAUAACGAACGAGACUCUGGCCUACUAAAUAGACGUUAGAUCCCUUUGUGGGUCUAUCGCAGCUUCUUAGAGGGACGGGCGGCGUUCAGCCGCACGAGAUUGAGCAAUAACAGGUCUGUGAUGCCCUUAGAUGUUCUGGGCUGCACGCGCGCUACACUGAAGGAAUCGGCGUGUGUUCCCUGCCCGAAAGGACUGGGAAACCCGUUGAACCUCCUUCGUGAUGGGGAUCGGGGAUUGCAAUUAUUCCCCAUGAACGAGGAAUUCCCAGUAGGCGCGAGUCAUAAGCUUGCGUCGAUUACGUCCCUGCCCUUUGUACACACCGCCCGUCGCUACUACCGAUCGAGUGAUUUAGU